GGGGGCAAGCGUUGUUCGGAAUUACUGGGCGUAAAGGGCUCGUAGGCGGCCAACUAAGUCGGACGUGAAAUCCCUCGGCUUAACCGGGGAACUGCGUCCGAUACUGGAUGGCUUGAGGUUGGGAGAGGGAUGCGGAAUUCCAGGUGUAGCGGUGAAAUGCGUAGAUAUCUGGAGGAACACCGGUGGCGAAGGCGGCAUCCUGGACCAAUUCUGACGCUGAGUGAGCGAAAGCCAGGGGAGCAAACGGG
rnacentral:rRNA from 1 species